rnacentral:tRNA from 1 species
AUAUAAUACUAGUAUAAUUUAGUAUAUCUACCUUCCAAGUAGCAGGUUUAAAAUUUAAGUAUUAUAU